rnacentral:rRNA from 1 species
UACGAGGGGGGCGAGCGUUGUUCGGAAUUAUUGGGCGUAAAGCGUGCGCAGGCGGUUCGCCAAGUCAGGUGUGAAAUCCCCGGGCUUAACCUGGGAAUUGCGCUUGAAACUAGCGGGCUUGAGUGCGGCAGAGGGGGGUGGAAUUCCACGUGUAGCAGUGAAAUGCGUAGAGAUGUGGAGGAACACCGAUGGCGAAGGCAGCCCCCUGGGUCGACACUGACGCUCAUGCACGAAAGCGUGGGGAGCAAACAGG